ACAGCCAUAUAAAAACAAAAGUAAAUAAAAUAAAAUAAAUUAAUUGAAUAUAUGUAUGUACUUAUCAAGCUUAACAUGAAAUAUCGUAACAUCGUUUAAAAUCCCGUGCAAAUUGUGUCACGCCUGCACAUUUAAAAACUAGCCAACACUACACAACAAAAGUUCAGUCAUCUAAGUAGACCGGAGCUAGUUUUGUUCCAACAGUUGAGUUGAUCUGGUUCUGGACGACACGACAAAAACUUCAAUCGCAGCUGUCAAUGCAAUUGGAAAAGGUCUACGAAUUGGUGAAUUCAAAUUUAAUUUGCCUCAAAAUGGUGCAGCCUGAAAAUGAAAAUCCUUUCGGAAUACCGCCAAACCUACUUAUAAAGGAAGUGGUGGGCAUUAAGUUUAUAUUGAACAAAUUUUAUUAUCUCGUGCUAUUGGAGGAUGCGCCACCCGUAUUCAUCCCAUCCGAUAUGGCCAAACAGAUGUGCCCCCAGCAAAUCAUAGAUUUCUUUACGAAUGAAUGUGAAAUGGUGGAUGGUAAAAUCAUUAUACCAGAGGAGUUCAAUAUAUAGGUUGAAGAUCCAGAAGAAAAAGAAAUACCUAUACAAAAUUGGAUUAACAAUAAUUACACUGUGGAACAAGAAACAUAUUGCAUGAACAAAACCUGAUGCUGAACAAUGUUUAAAUAAAAUCUAUUUCACAACCGUAUGCACUUGUAUGCAAUAAACAUCCACAGACCAAAA